UACAGAGGGUGCGAGCGUUAAUCGGAAUUACUGGGCGUAAAGGGUGCGUAGGUGGUUUUGUAAGUUAGGUGUGAAAUUCCCGGGCUUAACCUGGGAACUGCGCCUGAUACUGCAUAGCUAGAGUAUUGUAGAGGAAAGUGGAAUUUCCGGUGUAGCGGUGAAAUGCGUAGAUAUCGGAAGGAACAUCGGUGGCGAAGGCGACUUUCUGGACAAAUACUGACACUGAGGCACGAAAGCAUGGGGAGCAAACAGG
rnacentral:rRNA from 1 species